ensembl:lncRNA
AAAAAUUCCCAAGAGAAUAAAGAAAUUAACAAAACAGAAAUAAACAAAAUGAAAUACACACUGGGCUCAAAAGAAAUGAACAAUCAAAUAAUAAAUUUAGACAAUUUAAAUCAUCCAGCCUUCCACACUGAGUACAUAUAGGGCAAUAUAAAAGGCCCUAUAUGUACAGAUAUCAAAGUCCCGCACUACAGCAGGAAUCCUCCAACGCACAAGCACCUCAGCCAGGUUAAAUGGACAGGGCCAGCGCGAGCACUGAACCGAAUCGGAACCAGAAGUUGUUAAAAGAAACUGGAAAAAUGCAGCCAAAUGCCACACCGAAGCAGAGCCAUAAACGAUGUACAUGAUAGUGUGGCAGCCAGGAGCAGGCAGCAACAGACUGCUGCAAUGAAAAACAAACAACUAGUUCCCACAGUAUGGUUAAAUUUUGCUCUAUAAUUCUUACACGUACCCGAGUAAGCAGUCUGACCAAACACAGGUCGCAACAUAAACCAGUUGACGUCAUACGGCUAUAAGUGAUACAAAAAAUACAAAACACUAACAUUAGCACGACAAGAGUAGAAAGAUUCUAAAAGUCACAUUACUCUAAUGCUUACCUUUCAGAUAAAUGCACAAAAAGAACCCUAAGUGAGCCAUGACCAAGUUAGCCACACUGCUAACAACAGUGUAAACGCUGGUAGCAGAAAGGGGCGGGGCACCUGAGAGCAACACAUCCAAGUGACGCAACUCCACCCUUUAUACGCUCACCCAUAACUCCUGAUAGGCUAACAAUCCUAACAAUCAAUAUAGGAGGAUCUAACCAUCCUGCCACAAAUAGAAAGAUAAAGAGAACAUCACUGAUAGUAAAUCAAUAUUUUGGAAUGAUUUCUGAAGGAUUAUGUGACACUGAAGACUGGAGUAAAGGCUGAUGGGCUGAUCUCGGCUGGAAACUGUUGUACGUGCAGCAGGUCCACACUCGUUGUAAUUGUGUGUAUUUCCCUUUGGCCUGAGCUCGUUUUGUCACAGGCGGGCCGUUGCUAGUGCUAGAUUAAGGAAAUCCACCACCGGAGAAACAGAUUUUGCAUUUAAAUCCUGACACAAAUCUACAAUAUGUGCAUGAGACAGUGUUGUUGUUCUUCUGUUGUCUGACAGCUUUUAGGUGCAUUAUGGGCUAGGUGCAUAUCUCCACCAUCUUGGAUUUCCGAUCUAGCGAGUGUGUGCAUAGAUACAGUACUUCCGGUUGUGCCAGUGCAGAGUACCGGAGAAAUCCAGAUAUUUCCUUCUAUAUGUAUACAGGAUUUAUAAUAUCACUUAAAAUGCAAAUAACAUCUACACCGCUUAUAUUACUAUACUAUAAAUGUUAACUGAGUGCGUUUGAAACUUACGUAUGUUUGGGUCCAUGAAUGUAUGAAAUACCUACAGUUCACAAAAUGAAAGUUGAACAAGGUGUGUAUACCCCUUACCAGUUAUGUAAAUGUACAAAUUAUUUAUUUCUCGAAAAUGUUUUUAUUACAUUAUUAUUAUUAUUAUUUGUAAUUAAAUAUUUACCUUGUGAGACAUGAGCUGUGAUUUAUCUUAAUAAAUAUCCAUUUCUUAAUUGUGUACAUACAUCAGUUUGUUCCAUCAUUAUUUUCACAACAAAUUUUUAUAUUUUACUAAGUUAACUUCGCAUCAAACAUAUUUUCAAAUGAAAAAAAUGGCUGUAAAAGGAUACAACUAAUACAUGACAAAUUCAAAGAUUUGCUUUAUCUAAUAAUUAAUGCAAAAGAAAUUGUAAAAAUUUACAUGCGCUGCUUAUAGACAGAUAAUUAUUUAUGCAGCAUCUUUCACAAAAUAGAUAUUAAUAAAACCAAACAGGUAGCCUAAUGCAAACACAGAUCUUUUAAUUAAUGCCAACCUACCAUAAUUACAUUGUUAAAUUGUACAGAUAGUUAUAAAUUAUGUUAUCAAACGAAGCUAAUAAAACAUACAUGCAGAAAUCUCUGAGCGUAUCGAAAUGAUCAUUUGACAGUCGCAAACCUUAUAAUCUUAUAAAUAGCAGACAGAACAAAAUCAACUCUCCGAAAAUGUACAGUAUUGCAGAUUUGAGUUGUUUGUGUUUUAAUUUAGAGAUCCCCAUUGACUGACUAAGCACUGAUGCUGAGCCUCAUAAUCAGCAGAAGAAAGAAUGAAGCAUUCUUGAUCCGCGUUGUAUCUUAAUGAAUUUCCACACAGAUGCACGCAGUAAUGUAAGGAGGAUGUUUUCUCUUAUCUUUGAUAUACCACUAUCUACAUUUUUAAUUUGAAAAACAUUCAUUAUUUCUAUCUAGCCAAGUUUUGUAUGUAAGUUUUCCCUUACAGUAAAUGAGAACGUCGCAAGACCAGAAGUAAGUAUGCACACACUUGUUGCUGAAGCCCACCGUCGCCAUCUUGUGCACCGAUCAAAAAAGUCACUCCCCCAGUUUAUCUUGCUCGAAAUUAAAGGUCAAUAGUACAAAAAAUGGAGCCUGUCCUCCAACAAAAAACGACCAUAUAGGUCAUUUGUGCAAGCACCUUAUUACGACCUAUAUUUACGUUUUAACGUUAAGCGGCCUCAUGCGGGCAUAAAAAUAAUGACAGUAUCGCGUUGC